rnacentral:rRNA from 1 species
GAUGAACGCUGGCGGCGUGCCUAAUACAUGCAAGUCGAGCGAAAAGACGAGGAGCUUGCCCCUCUGACGUUAGCGGCGGACGGGUGAGUAACACGUGGAUAACCUACCUAUAAGACAGUGAUAACUUCGGGAAAUCGGAGCUAAUACCGGAUAAUAUAUUGAACCGCAUGGCUUAAUAGUGAAAGCCGUUUUUGCUGCCACUUUUAGAUGGAUGCGGUCGGGAUUAGCAGGUUGGUAAGGUAAGGGCUCACUAAGGCAACGGUGGGUAGCAGACCUGACAGGGUAAUCGGCACCACUGGAACUGAGACACGCUCAAGACUCCUACGGGGGGAGGAGGUGGGAAAUUUUGCGAAAUGGGGGAAGGCUUGACGAAGCAACGCGGCGUGAGGGAGGAGGGUCUUCGGUUCGUAAAUCUCUGUUAUUGGAGAAAAACGAAUGUGGUUAUAACUCUGCGCGUAUUGACGGAACCUAAUCAGAAGGCCAGGGCUAACUAGGU